rnacentral:rRNA from 1 species
GACGAACGCUGGCGGCGUGCUUAACACAUGCAAGUCGAACGGAAAGGCCCUGCUUUUGUGGGGUGCUCGAGUGGCGAACGGGUGAGUAACAAGUGAGUAACCUGCCCUUGACUUUGGGAUAACUUCAGGAAACUGGGGCUAAUACCGGAUAGGCGCUCCUGCUGCAUGGUGGGGGUUGGAAAGUUUCGGCGGUUGGGGAGGGACUCGGGGCUUAUCAGCUUGUUGGUGGGGUAGUGGCUUACCAAGGCUUUGACGGGUAGCCGGCCUGAGAGGGUGACCGGACACAAUGGGACUGGGAUACGGACCAGACUACUACGGGAGGCAGCAGUGGGGAAUAUUGCACAAUGGGCGGAAGCCUGAUGCAGCAACGCCGCGUGCGGGAUGACGGCCUUCGGGUUGUAAACCGCUUUCGCCUGUGACGAAGCGUGAGUGACGGUAAUGGGUAAAGAAGCACCGGCUAACUACGUG